CGGGUGAGGAAUACAUCGGAAUCUACUCUGUCGUGGGGGAUAACGUAGGGAAACUUACGCUAAUACCGCAUACGACCUACGGGUGAAAGCAGGGGACCUUCGGGCCUUGCGCUAUCAGAUGAGCCUAGGUCGGAUUAGCUAGUUGGUGAGGUAAUGGCUCACCAAGGCGACGAUCCGUAACUGGUCUGAGAGGAUGAUCAGUCACACUGGAACUGAGACACGGUCCAGACUCCUACGGGAGGCAGCAGCG
rnacentral:rRNA from 1 species